rnacentral:rRNA from 1 species
CCCCUAGAUGUUCUGGGCCGCACGCGCGCUACACUGAACAGUUCAACAAGUCUUAACCUUGGCCGAUAGGUCUGGGUAAUCUUUGAACGUGAAUCGUGAUGGGGAUAGAUGAUUGCAAUUAUUCAUCUUCAACGAGGAAUUCCUAGUAAACGCAAGUCAUCAGCUUGCAUUGAUUACGUCCCUGCCCUUUGUACACACCGCCCGUCGCACCUACCGAUUGAAUGGUCCGGUGAAAUCUUCGGAUCUGAGAGAUGUCUGAUUAAUUUCGGACGCCUUUUGGAAAAGUUGCUUAAACCUUAUCAUUUAGAGGAAGGAGAAGUCGUAACA